rnacentral:rRNA from 1 species
UGCAUAUCAAUAAGCGGAGGAAAAGAAACCAACAGGGAUUGCCUCAGUAACGGCGAGUGAAGCGGCAAAAGCUCAAAUUUGAAAUCUGGUACCUUUGGUGCCCGAGUUGUAAUUUGAAGAUAGUUUUCUGGUGCUGGCCCUUGUCUAUGUUCCUUGGAACAGGACGUCACAGAGGGUGAGAAUCCCGUCUGGCGGGGUGUCCAGUGCUUUGUAGAUUUCUAUCGACGAGUCGAGUUGUUUGGGAAUGCAGCUCUAAGUGGGUGGUAAAUUCCAUCUAAAGCUAAAUAUUGGCGAGAGACCGAUAGCGAACAAGUACAGUGAUGGAAAGAUGAAAAGAACUUUGAAAAGAGAGUGAAAAAGUACGUGAAAUUGUUGAAAGGGAAGGGUAUUAGAUCAGACUUGGUGUUUUGUGAUUAUCUUCCCUUCUUGGGUUGUGCACUCGCAUUUCACUGGGCCAGCAUCGGUUCGGGUGGUAAGAUAAUGACAUUGGAACGUGGCACUGCCUUCGGGUGGUGUGUUAUAGCCCUUGUUGAUGUUGCCUACCUGGACCGAGGACUGCGGCUUUUGCCUAGGAUGCUGGCGUAAUGAUCUAACACCCCCGUCUUGAAACA